CCAUGCACACAGGGGAAACAGCCCAAAGGGGAGGCAUUGCGUUGCUCUCAAAGUCGAAGAUCACUGCGUGUAUCAUAAACUCCCUGCAUCAAGAGCUUCUAAAUCACAUGUAGCUCUCAAAUUAUAGAAACCAAGUCAAACAAUAGAGGUUCAGUCUUCCACCCAUGUUCAACAUCAUCAGAACAAAACCAUUUAACGUCAUGAAAUCACUGGAUAUGUUGACCAGUGAGAUGUCUUCCUGGUGAAGCACACCUUUGGUUGGAAGAGCACACCUCUGUAUGUGAGUCCAGGAAACAGAAAAGCAUCUUCUCCAUGGAAGAUUACCUGAGACUGGGUAAUUUACUCAAGAAAUGAGGUUGAUUUGGGUUCACAGUUCUGGAGGCUGAGAAAUCCAACUGUAUGACUAUGCAUCUGCUUGGCUUCUUGUGGACCUCAUGGAAGAAAAUAGAAAGAUAAUGGGAAGAGAGAAAAUAUGAGAAGCAACCUUGUCUAUACGGACCCAACCUGGC